GGCUAUGGUUUGCCUCCUCACUCCUUCCAACUUUUCUAGACUGAGGGCAUUUUCUAGAGGGAGAUCCCGGCCCAGGGGGAGGAAGGAAUAGAAGAAGCCUGUACUCCCACGACAGCAGGUCCCUGAAGCCACCCUCUGUUUCUGUUACUACUCCCCCACAACCUUAACCCAGGCACUGAAGACCCACUAUUGUUCCCUGUGGCCUCUAAGAGAGGAUUUCCAAGUCUCCAUGAGUCAACUUCACGGGCAUUAAGCAAGCCUCCGCUAAGUGCCUCUUGUCUAUGACCUCCAUCACUGCAAGGCCAUGCGCUCAAUUAUCCAUUCCAUCAUCUCGUGCCGAACACUUACUCUGUGCUGGCACUGUGCUGUGUGCUGGAGAUAUAGAUAGAAACAAUUACUGCUGCCUUCAGGGAACACCAGCAGGCUGGGACACAGGCAAAGAAAUAUGCAGUGACUUCUCCAAGGAGAUGAAGGCUUCGGUGUCCCGGGAUGCUGGACGGGGGAGGCAAUGCCACGUGGGGCCUAUAGGUGGCAGCAGAUGCCCAUCACAGCCCACGGGGCACCUGGACACCUGGGAGCAGUCUAGCAAUUUCUCACCAGGAACAUGGGGAAGGAGAAAUAGACAUUGGAAACAACCCAUCAGGCAUGUGUCCAAACUCAGCCUCUGACUUAUGGCCUCAGAUUUUCUACUCAACCUCCCUGAGCCCCAAUUCCCUUAUCUGUACAAUGGGACUCCUGAACUGUUGGUGGGGGGUAAUGAUUUGAGAUGAGACAUGGAAAAGAUCCUGUGAAGUCCCAGGCAUUUGACAGAUUUAGCAGCCACCACUGUCAACAAAGCCCACCCUCCUUUCUUUGGCCCUUUGGUCCCACCUGCACUUUCCAGAUGGAAACCUCCGCCCUCCUCAUCAUAAGGCUCCCUCUCCCAAGCCUGCUCCUCCCCUUCUGCAGCUGGAGAGAAUUGCUUGUUCCCACAGGGCUUGGCACAGAAUAGGUGCUGUCUUUCUCCUCCUUCCUCUGGCUGCCUUAAGCUUUGCUUUUGCUGCCUUUUAGGUCUUAACAUUUAUGAUAAUCCGCCUUGUAGUACUAAUAACAGCAGAGUCCUUACAAGGUUCCCUGCUCUGCAGUAAGGGCUUUGCA
ensembl:lncRNA